rnacentral:rRNA from 1 species
GACGUAGGGGGCUAGCGUUGUCCGGAUUUAUUGGGCGUAAAGAGCGUGUAGGCGGCCAGGUAGGUCUGCUGUGAAAACUCGAGGCUCAACCUCGAGACGUCGGCGGAAACCAUCUGGCUAGAGUCCGGAAGAGGAGAGUGGAAUUCCUGGUGUAGCGGUGAAAUGCGCAGAUAUCAGGAGGAACACCGGUGGCGAAGGCGGCAUCCUGGACCAACACUGACACUGAGGAGCGAAAGCCAGGGGAGCAAACGGG